GAUGAACGCUGGCGGCGUGCCUAAUACAUGCAAGUCGAGCGAACAGACGAGAAGCUUGCUCCUCUGACGUUAGCGGCGGACGGGUGAGUAACACGUGGAUAACCUACCUAUAAGACUGGGAUAACUUCGGGAAACCGGAGCUAAUACCGGAUAAUAUAUUGAACCGCAUGGUUCAAUAGUGAAAGACGGUCUUGCUGUCACUUAUAGAUGGAUCCGCGCCGCAUUAGCUAGUUGGUAAGGUAACGGCUUACCAAGGCAACGAUGCAUAGCCGACCUGAGAGGGUGAUCGGCCACACUGGAACUGAGACACGGUCCAGACUCCUACGGGAGGCAGCAGUAGGGAAUCUUCCGCAAUGGGCGAAAGCCUGACGGAGCAACGCCGCGUGAGUGAUGAAGGUCUUCGGAUCGUAAAACUCUGUUAUUAGGGAAGAACAAAUGUGUAAGUAACUAUGCACGUCUUGACGGUACCUAAUCAGAAAGCCACGGCUAACUACGUG
rnacentral:rRNA from 1 species